CGCCCCCUUUACGUCAUCAUUGAGUAAACUUUGACCCGGAACCUCACAGUCAGCAGACACUUCCUGGGAGGGAGGGUCUGCUGCUGAUUGGGUGGAAUGUGUCUGCUGGCUGUGAGGUUCCGGGUCAAAGUUUACUCAAUGAUGACGUAUAGGGGGCG
rnacentral:miRNA from 1 species